UUCUAAUGCCCUGCAGACCAGCUCGACUACUUCAGGCUUCCUGUGCCCUUCACCCCAGACUUUACGUGCUAACAGUGCCCUCUACUGCUCAGGAGCAGAUCUUUGCUCCUAAAUCCGACCAAGAAAACUGGACUCGCUUACCACACGGAAGCGGUUGGCGUCUGCCUUUAAAGGAGAGAGGGUGGCAGUGCAGCAGCCGUCCACGCCGCGAAGAGCUGGUCGGUUAGCUGUACUGUCUUCCACCCGCCAAACCAUGAUGCUCUUCUGGAGAAAUAUACGGGGACACAAACCAGUCGUCAGGUGAAAGGCGCUGCCUGCCGAGCAGAACAGCUCUUCCUUCACUGUGAUUGGAGCCUUUCAUUUGUAGCACCGUCUCAGCGUUCUUCCCAUGCCUUUGAAUACACACAGCUGUGUAACUGUCACCAUAAUCUUUUUCCAAAUUAAAUUUAAUUAUUUUA